CACGUAGGGGGCAAGCGUUGUCCGGAUUUAUUGGGCGUAAAGAGCUCGUAGGUGGUUCGGUAAGUCAGGUGUGAAACCUCCAGGCUCAACCUGGAGACGCCACUUGAUACUGCUGUGACUGGAGUCCGGUAGGGGAGCGUGGAAUUCCUGGUGUAGCGGUGAAAUGCGCAGAUAUCAGGAGGAACACCAGCGGCGAAGGCGGCGCUCUGGGCCGGUACUGACACUGAGGAGCGAAAGCGUGGUUAGCAAACAGG
rnacentral:rRNA from 1 species